UACGGGGGGGGGUAAGCGUUGUUCGGAAUUACUGGGCGUAAAGGGCUCGUAGGCGGCCAACUAGGUCAGACGUGAAAUCCCUCAGCUUAACUGGGGAACUGCGUCUGAUACUGGAUGGCUUGGAUUCGGGAGAGGAAUGCGGAAUUCCAGGUGUAGCGGUGAAAUGCGUAGAUAUCUGGAGGAACACCGGUGGCGAAGGCGGCAUUCUGGACCGAUAUUGACGCUGAGGAGCGAAAGCCAGGGGAGCAAACGGG
rnacentral:rRNA from 1 species